ensembl:lincRNA
GGGGUUUUGAGAUGGGUUUUUAUGAUUCCUAAGCUUCACAAUUAAGAACGUCACGUUAUAGCGACGCUGUGUAGGUGACAUUAGCUGAAGCUCCUGUUAGACCAGCCCCUUCUCAGUCUCUGUCCUUGGUAGGUGAAACAAUCCCCUCAUUGUUAAAGAAGUGUGACAGUAGUUAAAAGUGUUCUCCCUGAACCAUGAAGGCCAAUAUGUCAUCCCAUAAGACAAUGCUUUGCCAAUCGCAGGAAUGCUAUCUGAUGUGAGUGUAUUGGAUUUGAUCAGUGUUCACAGUUAGCAUGUUAUUUUUUUCUUUCAAGACCUCUUCAUAAAUUUUAACUCAAGAGGCAGGAGGAUCACAAGUUCAAGGCCAGCCUGAGGAGGUAUUGAGACCCUCAAAACAAAACAACGACAAAAACACUAUAGAUUUUAGCUUACACUUGUAUUUAACAAAACCUUAGCAAAUGUUUCUAAGAUGAUCCAGCAGACACACACACCAGUCCUUUCACAACUGUAGAUUCUUGUAAAUAAAACAAAAUACUCAUUAGGUAAUAAUUAUCUUUUUUGAAGAUUCAUCUAUGAGGCCUCUUUAACAGAGGACUAACUCAUGCAAGUAUUGGAGCAACAGUGAUUUAAAAUAAAAGUAAUUUUUUAAAAGUGAGGCUUUGAAAGUCUGUGAAGUUUUCUGAAGUUGUUUCCCUAGGUGGGUGUGAGGCUUCCCAGCCAGAGGCAGCACGCAGGGGAGUCUAACUAGCCAGGUAGGUUCCGGCAGAAACCACUUGGAGAGGCUCAGAAAAGCAGUGGGAGGCAGAGACAAGGCUGGGAGGGGCACGAAGUCGUUGUUCUUUAGACCAGAGUCCAAGGAAGUCAGGCGAGGCCAUGUGCUUGCUGGCAAGGAUGCCUUCAUGGAGCAGGAGCCUCCGUGUUCAGAAGGCAGCGAGUUGGAGAGAAAAGUUCCAGAGGACGGGACAGAGCCAAAGCCAUUUGAUUCCUGCCUGCCCUACUUCGUUCUCUGUGGCCAUCACAGGCCCUGGAGUGCCAAUUGCUGGCAGAAAGAGGCUACAAGUGGCAGGGAGUUCUGCCUGUACCGAGGCAGAGGCUCCAGGACUACUUGGGCCCAGGGUUUUCCCCUUUCCCCUUUUCCGUGUUUUAGACCAGAGCUGACUGAACUUCUGAUUUCGAAUUUUGCUGCGAGCUUCAAAAGAAAGGUUACCCACCUAGCAAAGUUACAAAGUCAACCAUUUUCCAUGUGUUUGAAGCUGAUGGAGGGAGGCAAGCUAGUGACAGGUAAAGAGCGUGGCCCGGGCUUUAGAUUCUUAGGGAUUUGUUUAAAAUCUCUUCCACUUCUUGAAAAAAAUAAAAAGACUGUGAACUUUUGAACCCUGAAGCUGCAGUUGUUCUUAAAAGUACAACUUUAGAAUUACGAUUUGCACUCUCUCCUCUGAACGUGUCUUUUUUUCCUUCUAUCCUGUCUCAGGAUCAUUUUCACUCUGGGAGCUCUGAGGAAGCUGGAUGACGGGGGCCACCCACUUGGCUGACCUAUGAGGAAGCAGCUGUGUGAGAAGCUUCCCACUGAUCUUUUUAUUUAUUUUUGUUCUUUUUGAUUUUUUAACUUUUUAUUAGUAUGUAUUUGUCAUACAUACUGAUCACAUUCAUCAUAGGGAAUUUGAACCAUACAUAAAAUAUCUUAAUUCCUCUUUUUUUUUUCCCAUGCCAAUAAUCUUUUCAGAAAUUUAACUUCUUUUCCUUCCUAGGUAUCUUCCCCAAAGGGUUAAAAUCAACAUAUUACCGGGAUACAUACAUACUUAUGUUUGUAGCAGCACAAUUUAUAAUAGCUAGAUCUUGGAAAUAGGGUUAAUGUCCAUUAAAAGAUAAAUAGAUGAAGAAAAUGAUAUGUGUACUCAGUGGAGUACUAUGCUGCCAUAAAGGAAGAUAAAUUUGAGGCAUGCAUAGGUAAAUGGAUGCAACUUAAGAACUUAAUGUUAAGUGAAAUAAAUCAUAUAUACAAGCUCAAAUAUCACAUGGUUUCUCUUGUAUAAGAAUUACAAAUAAAGAAUAAAAUAGAAGAAAAAUAAAUAGGAAAUAGGAAGUUCAAAUACUUCCCCAAGUUAUAAAUUCCAUUGUUUUAAAAGUGUUUCAAUAUAUAUGCUAAUUGGUUUCAUUUGUACUACUAGUUUAUCUCUUUUUGGUUUAUGUCUUAUACUCUGAGUAACUACUUUGGAGAAAGUGAUACAAAGUGUAAUAACUGUUGCUCUUCCCUUAUUUGAUUAUGAAAUUUUUUUCAUAAAAUAAAGUUUUUCUAAAAAAGAAAUUUAACUUCUGAAUUUCCCGUCUCUUUCCUUUUUGUACAAAAAAAUGAAAGUGCUUUUCUAUUUGUGAUUGUAGGUUAUCAUAGACAAAUAUCUAAUAAAUAGGUAUUUGUCUAUGAACUAAAAUGAUAGUUCAGAAUAUUAAGACCACUUUCAUAUAAUGUAUGAGAUGUAUUAAAUAGCUGCAAAAGCCUGGUUUUGGGAUACAUGACAAUGCUGUCCAGAGUAGAAAAUAAUAUUAAACAACUUUUUCUCUUCUGAAUUUCUUAGGGGAUCAUCAAACUGUAAGUUUUUCUAAGUUAAGACUUUUGAAUUAAUGAAAUUGUCUACAGCCUAAUAUAAACCUAGUGUGUUCCUAUUGAAGAUGUAUACUUAGCCUGUGAAAUAUAUUAAAAUGUCUUAACUAAUUUUUAAAGCUUGUUUUCUCAUUAUGUGAAUUCUUUUCAAGUGAAGCCUCUUAGAGGAGGGAAAUCUAGAAAAUAAAUGAUGCACUUGGAAAUCUUUUCUGAUGGGUUAUUCUUUUAUAUAAUUAUGUUCUUCAUGCUAUCACAAGCACCUGUGCUUUCAACUUUAAAACCCUUCAUUUUCUAAUUUGUGUCUAAGGUAUGUUCUAUUAAAUAUUAUUUGAAAGCUAAGCAUGUGCUACAGAUUUAAUGGAUCUGAACAGAAGGAGAACACAGUUUAAUUUUUCAGUUGCAUUCCCGUGAUAAACACAGAGAAAGCCAGUAAUUUGGUAAAUACAAUAAUGUCUACAUGGGCAUAAAAAAGUAUAUUAUACCAAUAAAGGGUAUGGGACUAUUUAUAUAAUGGACAAGAUGUGCUUCUAGAGCUUUCUCCUUGGAAUAAGUCUACCGUGGUGCUGUGGUGUACACAGGUUUUAAGUAAAACUCACCAUCUCUAACUUUGCGAUAGAAAGACAUUUUUGCAAUAGCACCACAAAAUGGGAAGUGGGCAAUUCAUUUCUGCUUUUAAACAUAAAAAUACAGGAAAUGAAACAUAACUAGCAUCUUUUCCUAUUUCCAGUAUGUUUAUAAGAUGGUCUGACCAUAACAAGAUAUUUUUACAAACAUCAGACCUCUCCUACAAUUUUCUCAUGGCUAUAGUUAUUACAUAUGCCUUCCCUUUGAGGAAAUCAAGAAUGGUAGUAGGCGGUUUAUCGGUAAAAUUUUCUCUUCUCUCUGACCUUCAAAGCUGUUUGAGAAAGUAUGUGGGAAGGGUGAAAAAAGAAUUAAAGUGUUUACGUACGUGUACCAACUCCCCAUGAGGAAUAUAAUCAUUAUGUAGUGC